rnacentral:rRNA from 1 species
GACGAACGCUGGCGGCGUGCUUAUCACAUGCAAGUCGAACGGAAAGGCCCUGCUUUUGUGGGGUGCUCGAGUGGCGAACGGGUGAGUAACACGUGAGUAACCUGCCCUUGACUUUGGGAUAACUUCAGGAAACUGGGGCUAAUACCGGAUAGGAGCUCCUGCUGCAUGGGGGGGGUUGGAAAGUUUCGGCGGUUGGGGAUGGACUCGCGGCUUAUCAGCUUGUUGGUGGGGUAGUGGCUUACCAAGGCUUUGACGGGUAGCCGGCCUGAGAGGGUGACCGGCCACAUUGGGACUGAGAUACGGCCCAGACUCCUACGGGAGGCAGCAGUGGGGAAUAUUGCACAAUGGGCGGAAGCCUGAUGCAGCAACGCCGCGUGCGGGAUGACGGCCUUCGGGUUGUAAACCGCUUUCGCCUGUGACGAAGCGUGAGUGACGGUAAUGGGUAAAGAAGCACCGGCUAACUACGUG